UACGGGGGGAGCAAGCGUUGUUCGGAUUUACUGGGCGUAAAGGGCGCGUAGGCGGCCACCGCAAGUCGACUGUGAAAUCUCCGGGCUUAACCCGGAAAGGUCAGCCGAUACUGCGGGGCUAGAGUGCAGAAGGGGCAACUGGAAUUCUCGGUGUAGCGGUGAAAUGCGUAGAUAUCGAGAGGAACACCUGCGGCGAAGGCGGGUUGCUGGGCUGACACUGACGCUGAGGAGCGAAAGCCAGGGGAGCAAACGGG
rnacentral:rRNA from 1 species